CCUACGGGUGGCAGCAGUGAGGAAUUUUGCGCAAUGGGGGAAACCCUGACGCAGCGACGCCGCGUGGAGGAUGAAGGCCUUCGGGUUGUAAACUCCUGUCAGAGGUGAAGAAUGCCCGCAAGGGUUUGACGGUAACCUCAGAGGAAGCCCCGGCUAACUACGUGCCAGCAGCCGCGGUAAUACGUAGGGGGCGAGCGUUGCUCGGAAUUACUGGGCGUAAAGGGUGUGUAGGUGGCUGAUCAAGUCAAAGAUGAAAUCCCGAGGCUUAACUUCGGAAUUGUCUUUGAAACUGGUCGGCUUGAGGCUAGUUGAGGAGAGCGGAAUUCCCGGUGGAGCGGUGAAAUGCGUAGAUAUCGGGAGGAACACCUGAGGCGUAGGCGGUUCUCUAAACUUGUCCUGACACUGAGACACGAAAGCUAGGGGAGCAAACGGGAUUAGAUACCCCAGUANUC
rnacentral:rRNA from 1 species